GACGAACGCUGGCGGCGUGCCUAAUACAUGCAAGUAGAACGCUGAAGGAGGAGCUUGCUUCUCUGGAUGAGUUGCGAACGGGUGAGUAACGCGUAGGUAACCUGCCUGGUAGCGGGGGAUAACUAUUGGAAACGAUAGCUAAUACCGCAUAAGAGUAGAUGUUGCAUGACAUUUGCUUAAAAGGUGCAAUUGCAUCACUACCAGAUGGACCUGCGUUGUAUUAGCUAGUUGGUGAGGUAACGGCUCACCAAGGCGACGAUACAUAGCCGACCUGAGAGGGUGAUCGGCCACACUGGGACUGAGACACGGCCCAGACUCCUACGGGAGGCAGCAGUAGGGAAUCUUCGGCAAUAGACGGAAGUCUGACCGAGCAACGCCGCGUGAGUGAAGAAGGGUUUCGGAUCGUAAAGCUCUGUUGUAAGAGAAGAACGAGUGUGAGAGUGGAAAGUUCACACUGUGACGGUAUCUUACCAGAAAGGGACGGCUAACUACGUG
rnacentral:rRNA from 1 species